CCCGCCGGCGACCGGCGCACGGGUGAGUAACACGUAUGCAACCUGGCCGCCACAGGGGGAUAACCCGCGGAAACGCGGCCUAAUACCCCGUGACGCCACCGGAGGGCAUCCUCCGGUGGCCAAAGGAGCGAUCCGGUGGCGGAUGGGCAUGCGGCGCAUUAGCUAGACGGCGGGGUGGCGGCCCACCGUGGCGACGAUGCGUAGGGGUUCUGAGAGGAAGGCCCCCCACACUGGGACUGAGACACGGCCCAGACUCCUACGGAAGGCAGCAG
rnacentral:rRNA from 1 species